CCCCCUUUAGAGUUUGAUCCUGGCUCAGGAUGAACGCUGGCGGCGUGCCUAAUACAUGCAAGUCGAGCGAAUGGAUUAAGAGCUUGCUCUUAUGAAGUUAGCGGCGGACGGGUGAGUAACACGUGGGUAACCUGCCCAUAAGACUGGGAUAACUCCGGGAAACCGGGGCUAAUACCGGAUAACAUUUUGAACUGCAUGGUUCGAAAUUGAAAGGCGGCUUCGGCUGUCACUUAUGGAUGGACCCGCGUCGCAUUAGCUAGUUGGUGAGGUAACGGCUCACCAAGGCAACGAUGCGUAGCCGACCUGAGAGGGUGAUCGGCCACACUGGGACUGAGACACGGCCCAGACUCCUACGGGAGGCAGCAGUAGGGAAUCUUCCGCAAUGGACGAAAGUCUGACGGAGCAACGCCGCGUGAGUGAUGAAGGCUUUCGGGUCGUAAAACUCUGUUGUUAGGGAAGAACAAGUGCUAGUUGAAUAAAGCUGGCACCUGACGU
rnacentral:rRNA from 1 species